ACCUAACUGAUGAGCCCCAGAUCC
rnacentral:piRNA from 1 species